GACGAACGCUGGCGGCGUGCUUAACACAUGCAAGUCGAACGGUGAAGCGCCUUCCUUUUUGGUGGGUGUGGAUGAGUGGCGAACGGGUGAGUAACACGUGAGUAACCUGCCCCCUUCUUCUGGAUAACCGCAUGAAAGUGUGGCUAAUACGGGAUAUUCUGGGUCUGUCGCAUGAUGGGUCUGGGAAAGAUAUUGUUUCGGUGGGGGAUGGGCUCGCGGCCUAUCAGCUUGUUGGUGGGGUGAUGGCCUACCAAGGCGGUGACGGGUAGCCGGCCUGGGAGGGUGGACGGUCACACUGGGACUGAGACACGGCCCAGACUCCUACGGGAGGCAGCAGUGGGGAAUAUUGCACAAUGGGCGCAAGCCUGAUGCAGCGACGCCGCGUGAGGGAUGGAGGCCUUCGGGUUGUGAACCUCUUUCGCCAGUGAAGCAGGCCUGCCUCGUUUGUGGGUGGGUUGACGGUAGCUGGAUAAGAACCGCCGGCUAACUACGCG
rnacentral:rRNA from 1 species